CACGUAGGGGGCAAGCGUUGUCCGGAUUUAUUGGGCGUAAAGAGCUCGUAGGCGGUUCGGUAAGUCGGGUGUGAAACCUCCAGGCUCAACCUGGAGUCGCCACUCGAUACUGCUGUGACUAGAGUCCGGUAGGGGAGCGUGGAAUUCCUGGUGUAGCGGUGAAAUGCGCAGAUAUCAGGAGGAACACCAGCGGCGAAGGCGGCGCUCUGGGCCGGAACUGACGCUGAGGCGCGAAAGCUAGGGGAGCGAACAGG
rnacentral:rRNA from 1 species